rnacentral:lncRNA from 1 species
UUGACUUUAAUUAAUUAAAAAUGUAUUGUUAUCUUGUUGGUAUUCAUAAUUCAGUGCAGGAUUUAACUUGUACAGUGACUCAUAUUUAAUGAUGAAGCAUAUCACAUGACCAGCAAAUAUUAUUUGCUUUAUCACUAUUUUUUGUGUCGGUCUACGUAUAUUAUUCCGAACGUUAGAAUGACUCGCCAUAAUCGCUUUUGAUCAAAUGAUGAUAAAAUUCCUCCCGAUGCCACCGUGACGGUUUAUACAAGCUCAACAGGACUGAAUCCAUCAAAACAUCAGCUAAAUAUUAUUAUGAUGAUUGAAAAACACUAACAAAUUGUAUUAUUGGUUGCAGAUGAACAUUUAAUCACACAGUAUGUGGUACCGUGAUUAGUAAUGAAGAUAUUCAAAUCUCUUAUCAGGUGCUGAAAAGAGGUUCUGUGACCCAAAGCAGCCAUAGAAUGUAAUAGGUACUCCUCGUGGCCAGAACAAUUUAAGUUGAAAUGCAGCUGUCUAUUACACAAUACUGUUGAUUCACCAAUAAACAGUUAUCGAAAUAAA